rnacentral:tRNA from 1 species
UGGUCAACUCAUCAGGCUCAUGACCUGAAGACUGCAGGUUCGAAUCCUGUCUCCGCCU